rnacentral:rRNA from 1 species
AUUGAACGCUGGCGGCAGGCCUAACACAUGCAAGUCGAGCAGGGUUUUCGGACCUAGCGGCGGACGGGUGAGUAAUGCGUAGGAAGCUACCCGAUAGAGGGGGAUACCAGUUGGAAACGACUGUUAAUACCGCAUAAUGUCUACGGACCAAAGUGUGGGACCUUCGGGCCACAUGCUAUCGGAUGCGCCGACGUGGGAUUAGCUAGUUGGUGGGGUAAUGGCUCACCAAGGCGACGAUCCCUAGCUGGUUUGAGAGGAUGAUCAGCCACACUGGAACUGAGACACGGUCUAGACUCCUACGGGAGGCAGCAGUGGGGAAUAUUGGACAAUGGGCGAAAGCCUGAUCCAGCCAUGCCGCGUGUGUGAAGAAGGCCUUCGGGUUGUAAAGCACUUUCAGUAGGGAGGAAGGGUUAAGUGUUAAUAGUACUUAACUUUGACGUUACCUACAGAAGAAGCACCGGCUAACUCUGUGCCAGCAGCCGCCGUAAUAC